rnacentral:rRNA from 1 species
GACGAACGCUGGCGGCGUGCUUAACACAUGCAAGUCGAACGGAAAGGCCCUGCUUUUGUGGGGUGCUCGAGUGGCGAACGGGUGAGUAACACGUGAGUAACCUGCCCUUGACUUUGGGAUAACUUCAGGAAACUGGGGCUAAUACCGGAUAGGAGCUCCUGCUGCAUGGUGGGGGUUGAAAGGUUUGGGCGGUUGGGGAUGGACUCGCGGCUUUUCAGCUUGUUGGUGGGGUAGUGGCUUACCAAGGCUUUGACGGGUAGCCGGCCUGAGAGGGUGACCGGCCACAUUGGGACUGAGAUACGGCCCAGACUCCUACGGGAGGCAGCAGUGGGGAAUAUUGCACAAUGGGCGGAAGCCUGAUGCAGCAACGCCGCGUGCGGGAUGACGGCCUUCGGGUUGUAAACCGCUUUCGCCUGUGACGAAGCGUGAGUGACGGUAAUGGGUAAAGAAGCACCGGCUAACUACGUG